GCUUGUCUCAAAGAUUAAGCCAUGCAUGUCUAAGUAUAGUACCUUAUACUGCGAAACUGCGAAUGGCUCAUUAAAUCAGUUAUAAUUCAUUUGAUGGUACUUACUACUCGGAUAACCGUAGUAAUUCUAGAGCUAAUACGUGCGUAAAUCCCGACUUCUGGAAGGGACGUAUUUAUUAGAUAAGAAACCUUCCCCUUUGGGUUGCGUGCCGAGUCACAAUAACUGCUCGAAUCGCAUGGCUUCACGCCGGCGAUGGUUCAUUCAAAUUUCUGCCCUAUCAGCUUUCGAUGGUAGGAUCGAGGCCUACCAUGGCGUUUACGGGUAACGGAGAAUUAGGGUUCGAUUCCGGAGAGGGAGCCUGAGAGAUGGCUACCACAUCCAAGGAAGGCAGCAGG
rnacentral:rRNA from 1 species